UCACAGGGGGGUUAUGCCCUUAGUUACGGCGAGUGAAGCGGCAAAAGCUCAAAUUUGAAAUCUGGCACCUUCGGUGUCCGAGUUGUAAUUUGAAGAAGGUAACUUUGGAGUUGGCUCUUGUCUAUGUUCCUUGGAACAGGACGUCACAGAGGGUGAGAAUCCCGUGCGAUGAGAUGCCCAAUUCUAUGUAAAGUGCUUUCGAAGAGUCGAGUUGUUUGGGAAUGCAGCUCUAAGUGGGUGGUAAAUUCCAUCUAAAGCUAAAUAUUGGCGAGAGACCGAUAGCGAACAAGUACAGUGAUGGAAAGAUGAAAAGAACUUUGAAAAGAGAGUGAAAAAGUACGUGAAAUUGUUGAAAGGGAAGGGCUUGAGAUCAGACUUGGUAUUUUGCGAUCCUUUCCUUCUUGGUUGGGUUCCUCGCAGCUUACUGGGCCAGCAUCGGUUUGGAUGGUAGGAUAAUGACUAAGGAAUGUGGCUCUACUUCGGUGGAGUGUUAUAGCCUUGGUUGAUACUGCCUGUCUAGACCGAGGACUGCGUCUUUUGACUAGGAUGUUGGCAUAAUGAUCUUAAGCCACCCGUCUUAAAAGGGGGACCAAAAAAAAAAAUGAAGGUAUAGAAAAAAAAAAAAAUAAUAUAGGUAAGGUUAAAGGGUGUGAAAACUGUAUAAGGAGGAAGA
rnacentral:rRNA from 1 species